AUUGAACGCUGGCGGCAGGCCUAACACAUGCAAGUCGAACGGUAACAGGAAGCAGCUUGCUGCUUUGCUGCCGAGUGGCGGACGGGUGAGUAAUGUCUGGGAAACUGCCUGAUGGAGGGGGUUAACUACUGGAAACGGUAGCUAAUACCGCAUAACGUCGCAAGACCAAAGAGGGGGACCUUCGGUCCUCUUGCCAUCGGCUGUGCCCAGAUGGGAUUAGCUAGUAGGUGGGGUUACGGCUCACCUAGGCGACGAUCCCUAGCUGGUCUGAGAGGAUGACCAGCCACACUGGAACUGAGACACGGUCCAGACUCCUACGGGAGGCAGCAGUGGGGAAUAUUGCACAAUGGGCGAAAGCGUGAUGCAGCCAAGCCGCGUGUAUGAAGAAGGACUUCGGGUUGUAAAGUACUUUCAGCGGGGAGGAAGGGAGUAAAGUUAAUACCUUUGCACAUUGACGUUACCCGCAGAAGAAGCACCGGCUAACUCCGUG
rnacentral:rRNA from 1 species